CCGGUCCCAGGAGCCAGUGGGGCGGCCGACCCAGCUCCCUGAAGCCCGUCGUGCAGUCCGGCACGGCAGGGGGCUAGUGUGGCGCGGGGAGGGGGGUGUCCGGCCCCAGUGGCCAAGGACAUCCCGCUCCGGGAACCCCCUCCCCCACUCCCUCUCCCUCCAGCUGUGCCGGGGCCUCGCCAACGGAAAACGAAAACUCGGGCAGAGGAAACGGCGGCAGGCGCCCCGCCUGAAAAACCCGGACAAAAGGCGCGGGCCUCCCGCCCCCGCUGCCUGGCCACUGGGGGCCUGGCACAGCCGUCCAGCCUAUGUGUACCUCUUUCCCAUGCCUUCUUGCAGUUCUAAAGGGUUCCUGUAUUCCUUCUCACAGAUUAUGAAGCAAAGAAAGCAGAGGCCACAGAUAGAUAGGACUAUGAUUUGGAUAUAAAACAGGCAACAGAAGUGGAAGGCUGACCCUACCUACUGGAAGAAGCCACCCGCUCUGGGCCAAGGACACCUCACAGAGCCUGCUUGCUUCACCGCCAUCACCAACCCCAAGACUCCACAAGAUCAGGGCCUCAGGUCCCGGAAGGAGUUGAGUGGCUCAGACACCAACUGGGCCAUCCCUGCUCCUGUGAGCCUGAGGAAGGAGACGCUGACUUCUUUGUAAAUCUUAUGUUUUAUUUCAUUUCUUUUACACUCCCUGGAAGUCCAUGGAGAGGGAUGCUUUUACAAUAUGGAAAGGCACUUAAUGACUCCUCUUCCUUUCCCUCUAUCUCCAUCAAGGUCGUGUGCAGCUGGAAUUAUCCCCCGCUUCUGAGAAGUCCUUCCUGCUAUCUAACUGUAAUCCAUCAUACUGCCUGUAUUUUCUUGCUUAGUUUUCAACAAAGUUCCUGUUUCUACCUCU